UACGUAGGGUGCAAGCGUUAAUCGGAAUUACUGGGCGUAAAGCGUGCGCAGGCGGCUUUGCAAGACAGAUGUGAAAUCCCCGGGCUUAACCUGGGAACUGCAUUUGUGACUGCAAGGCUGGAGUGCGGCAGAGGGGGAUGGAAUUCCGCGUGUAGCAGUGAAAUGCGUAGAUAUGCGGAGGAACACCGAUGGCGAAGGCAGCCCCCUGGGCCAAUACUGACGCUCAGGCACGAAAGCGUGGGGAGCAAACAGG
rnacentral:rRNA from 1 species